AUUGAACGCUGGCGGAAUGCUUUACACAUGCAAGUCGAACGGCAGCACGGGAGCUUGCUCCUGGUGGCGAGUGGCGAACGGGUGAGUAAUAUAUCGGAACGUAUCCAAUAAUGGGGGAUAACUAAGCGAAAGCUUGGCUAAUACCGCAUACGCCCUGAGGGGGAAAGCUAGGGAUCUUCGGACCUGGCGUUAAUGGAGCGGCCGAUAUCUGAUUAGCUAGUUGGUGAGGUAAAGGCUCACCAAGGCGACGAUCAGUAGCUGGUCUGAGAGGACGACCAGCCACACUGGAACUGAGACACGGUCCAGACUCCUACGGGAGGCAGCAGUGGGGAAUUUUGGACAAUGGGCGCAAGCCUGAUCCAGCCAUUCCGCGUGAGUGAAGAAGGCCUUCGGGUUGUAAAGCUCUUUCGCAAGGGAAGAAAGAUUACGCUCUAACAUAGCGUGAUUAUGACGGUACCUUGAUAAGAAGCACCGGCUAACUACGUGCCAGCCGCCGCUGUAAUAC
rnacentral:rRNA from 1 species